rnacentral:rRNA from 1 species
CCUACGGGGGGCUGCAGUGGGGAAUAUUGCACAAUGGGGGAAACCCUGAUGCAGCAACGCCGCGUGAGUGACGAAGGCCUUCGGGUUGUAAAACUCUGUCUUAGCUGACGAUAAUGACGGUAAGCUAGGAGGAAGCCACGGCUAACUACGUGCCAGCAGCCGCGGUAAUACGUAGGUGGCGAGCGUUGUCCGGAAUUACUGGGCGUAAAGGGAGCGUAGGCGGUUUUUUAAGUGGGAUGUGAAAUCCCCGGGCUGAACCUGGGAAUGGCAUUCCAAACUGGAAGACUAGAGUGCAGGAGAGGAAAGUGGAAUUCCAAGUGUAGCGGUGAAAUGCGUAGAGAUUUGGAGGAACACCAGUGGCGAAGGCGACUUUCUGGACUGAUACUGACGCUGAGGCUCGAGAGCGUGGGGAGCAAACAGGAUUAGAUACCCCUGUAGUC